AUCGCUUACCGACGGUGGUAGAGCACUGGAUCCGUGCGGGGGCCUCACCGCCUACCAACCGAAACCAAACUCCGAAUGCCGUCGGUCCCGAGAUCGGGAGUCAGAACAUGUGGGCUAAGCCGUGUGUUCGAGAGGGAAACAGCCCAGACCGCCUGCUAAGGUCCCCAAAUCAACGCUGAGUGGCAAAGGAUGUGCGUUUGCCUAGACAACCAGGAUGUUGGCUUAGAAGCAGCCAUGCAUUUAAAGAGUGCGUAACAGCUCACUGGUCAAGUGGACAUGCGCCGACAAUACACGGGGCUAAGCGUUGUACCGAAGCAGCGGACUGUUUUAUCAGUGGUAGGGGAGCUUUCCAUGCCGGGGCGAAGCCGACGGGCGACCGUCGGUGGACUGCAUGGAAGUGAGAAUGCUGGCAUGAGUAACGAGAGAGGGGCGAGAAACCCCUCCGCCGUAAGCCUAAGGGUUCCUGGGCAAGGCUAAUCCCCCCAGGGUCAGUCGGGAGCUAAGGCGAGGCCGACAGGCGUAGCCGAUGCACAACAGGCGGACAUUCCUGUACCACCGCGGAGCGUUACUACGACGGGGUGACGGAGAAGGGUAGCCGGGCGGGGUUCUGGACGUCCCCGUGAAAGCGCGUAGGCCGCAGGGCAGGCAAAUCCGCCCUGCAGCGAGGCCGAGACGUUAGACGAAGCUUCAUGUGAAGCCGGCGAGCCCAUGCUUCCGAGAAAAACCUCUAAGGAGCGAGGCGGUGCCCGUACCAAAACCGACACAGGUAGGCGGGUAGAGCAUACCAAGGCGAUCGGGAGAACCAUGGUUAAGGAACUCGGCAUACUGACUCCGUAACUUCGGGAGAAGGAGUGCCCCCGCCUGUGAGGUCCCACGCGGACGGAGCGGGAGGGGGUCGCAGCGAAACGGCCCAAGCGACUGUUUACCAAAAACACAGGACUCUGCAAAGCCGCAAGGCGACGUAUAGGGUCUGACGCCUGCCCGGUGCUGGAAGGUUACGCGGAUGAGUUAGCGCAAGCGAAGCCCUGAAGCCAAGCCCCAGUAAACGGCGGCCGUAACUAUAACGGUCCUAAGGUAGCGAAAUUCCUUGUCGGGUAAGUUCCGACCUGCACGAAUGGCGUAACGACUUGGGCGCUGUCUCAACCAUGGACCCGGUGAAAUUGUAUUAUUCGUGAAGAUGCGAAUUACCUGCGGAAGGACGGAAAGACCCCGUGAACCUUUACUGCAGCUUGGCAUUGGCUGUUGGUGCGGUGCGUAGAGGAUAGGCAGGAGCCUGCGAACCGGGAACGCCAGUUCCCGGGGAGGCGCCCUUGGAAUACUGCCCUCACCGCAUCGGCAGCCUAACGCGCCGCCCUCAUCGGGGGCGCGGACCGUGCCAGGUGGGUAGUUUGACUGGGGCGGUCGCCUCCUAAACUGUAACGGAGGCGUGCGAAGGUUCGCUCAGGGCGGUUGGCAAUCGCCCGCAGAGCACAAGAGUACAAGCGAGCCUGACUGCGAGACCAACAAGUCGAGCAGAGACGAAAGUCGGUUCUAGUGAUCCGGCGGCCCAGCGUGGAAUGGCCGUCGCUCAAC
rnacentral:rRNA from 1 species